GUUCCAGGACUCCAGAUGUACCUGUUCUCCUGCCUUUCCCCUAUGGUAAUAAAAUUUCCUAUUAAAUCUCAAGCCUAGCUGUGGGUGUCAGUUUCCUUUCAACUGACAAAAAGGGGAAAUUGCACUGGCCUCCAACCAUAAGAUCAGUGGAGGAACUUUGACCCAGGUGUGUAAGAGGCUUUCGGCCCAGGUCUGUACUGGAAGGGUGGUGAUGCCUUUGUGCUGGAAACCUCAGCUUUGCUGUUUAUGGCUUCAAGAGGCAAAUGCACGUUGGAAGAUUCCUAACAUGGUGAUCACGUUUUCGGGAUGGUGGUGCUAGAAGUCCAGUGGAGUUAGGGCUAAGGUCCGUGUCUCCCACCCUUUUAUUUUUUAUCUUGAGACAUGGUCCUGCCAAAUCAGUAAGUUGCCAGGCUGGAUUCCAAGUUUUUGUGAUCCUCCUGUCUCAGCCUCAGAACUGGGAUUACAGGUGUAUGCCACCGUGGUGAGCUCGGACUGAGUCUUUGAAGCCCACCACCCUGAGGUGGGAAUCAGUAAUAUUUAAACUGUGUGUACUGUCUGCCAGGUGCUGUUGUAGGUGAUUUACCUUUAUUUUGAGACGGAGUCCUGUUGUGUUUGUUGCCCAGGCUGGCCUGGAAUUCUUGGGCUCAAGGAAUCCCCUUGUCUCAGCUUCCCAAGCAGCUGAUACUAUAGGCAUUCACUAUUACACCUGGCUAUACAUGUUUUACUUCUAAUAACAGUUUUAAAUUCUCCACUAUGGCUCUAUGAAAGAGGUGCCAUUACUACACCAUUUUAAGGGUGGAAAAAAGAAGGUUGUAGGAACGACAGGGAAAUGUGAAUCCACACAAUCCUGAUACAGUUUUCCUUAGCCAUCCUGAGGCCUUGUGGGCUUUUCUGAUAAUGGAUCAGGUGUUCACUGGGGGUUGGAGUCCCAGCUUCCAAAGGGACCUGGGAUUCCUGUGCCUUCACUUCCACUACUUCUUCCACAGGGUUUCCUGGAAAGUGCGGCAGUGGGGCUGCGGGUCAGAAAUCCUGCGGUCACAGCCCCCCAGGCUGCAGGCUCCGGCCCGGACGGGGCUCAGACACCUCCUGCAGACCUCUGGGGCCUUGGCAGCACCAUCGGAAGUCUCCCGGUACUGCGGCCGGUUCGGACCACCUCCUUCCCCAGGAGAGGAGCCGGGAUUGGGUACCACGAGUUUGUGGAAAACUGCGGACUCAAAGACUUCGUUGAUCAUUUGACGCACCCUUUCAAAAAGUGUUCUCCUGGGCAGUGCAACUCCGAUUUCGCGGAGCUGUGUACCCCUGCGGCCGCGGAGCCCAGGCCACUACCCCGGCUGGGAGCCGCGGCAGGACCCAGCAUUGCAGCAGAGAGGUGCUGGCCCUACUUUGGAGGGCUGGGCCAGGGCUCUCAGGAGGUAGGGCGGGACGCGGACGUGGUUUGGUAUGGACAAGAGGGGCCUGGAUCCAGGGAAGGGAAUAGAGGUGUGCCAAAGGGGUCGAAGAGGGCCAGUACUAGGGGGCUGGAAGGUAGGAACGGACAGGAGACUAUGGCCCCAAUGAAGGAUGGAAAGGUAGGGGUUGGGCUGAUGGGGAGGAAGCAGGGCGUGGCCUCCCAUUUACUCCCAGACCUCUUCCCAGACCUGUCCCUGACAAGACUUUCUGUCCCACGACAGCUGAAGAAACAACUGCAGGCGCCCAUGUCACCAGCGAGUUCGUCUCUCGUGGACAGCAUUUUGUCCUGCCCUUAG
ensembl:lincRNA